AGAAAGUGUAGUGCAAGUGUUAAGAGAGAAUCAGAAUUACAGAGGAACGAGAAAUACGAGUACAAAUCAGAGAAAUAAAUAUUUAUUUGUUAACGAACAUUUAAAGAAAGCCGCGAAUGAAGAAGAGGUGAUAACUUUUCAUAGCGCAAAGCUUUUAGAGUUACAGCAUCGUCAAGGUAUUUUAAGUUGAAAAACAAAAACAACAACAACCAACAAACGCGCGCAAUAUCUACCAACCAUUUUUUAAAGAACAGAAAAAAGCAAAAAAUAAGAAAAAUAAUAACAAAAACAGAACAAUUCAGCACCUUUUGGACGUGGAGCAAUCAAAU